CCGUCCUAAAGGAACCCACGGGCUAUAUGGGUUUAGCUCUCCCUGCUGAAAGGGCUCCAGUGCGUGUUACCCGUACAUACUAGAGAAAAACCUGAGAUGACUAUUACAUCCCCCAGAAUAUAAAGUGUUACAUCAUGCACAUGGUCACUAUGACCAAACCUCACAUUGGUAAAUAUGAGUUCCCAGUAUCUGCCCCCUAGGACCUCCACCUUUCACGACUUUGCUACACAACCC
rnacentral:lncRNA from 1 species